GGUUGUGGCUUAGUGGUAGAGCGUUCGCCUAGCAUGUGUGAGGUACUGGGUUCGAUCCCCAGCACCA
rnacentral:tRNA from 1 species